rnacentral:rRNA from 1 species
CCUACGGGUGGCUGCAGUAAGGAAUAUUGGACAAUGGGCGCAAGCCUGAUCCAGCCAUGCCGCGUGCAGGAUGACGGCCCUAUGGGUUGUAAACUGCUUUUAUACGGGAAAAAACCCCUCUACGUGUAGAGGGCUGAUGGUACCGUAAGAAUAAGGAUCGGCUAACUCCGUGCCAGCAGCCGCGGUAAUACGGAGGAUCCGGGCGUUAUCCGGAUGAAUGGGGUUGAAGGGGUAUGUGUGAGUCAGUGGUGAAAUCCUGGAGCUGAACUGUAGGACUGCCAUUGAUACUGCAAGUCUUGAGUACAUAUGAGGUGGGCGGAAUGUGUAGUGUAGCGGUGAAAUGCUUAGAUAUUACACAGAACACCAAUUGCGAAGGCAGCUCACAAAACUGUAACUGACGCUGAGGCACGAAAGCGUGGGGAGUGAACAGGAUUAGAUACCCUGGUAGUC